AGAACUAUCUAUUUAUGCAUAAAAGGAAAUUUUGUCUGCGUAAUAUUAUUUGAAUUUUUACACCUUAGCUGAACAAUGCUUUAUUUGUCUUUUUAGUGCAUAUCAUACUUUUAUAUAAACAAUAAUGUUCAUGAAAUAAGUGUGAAUAAAACCAUCAUGAUGUGUAUAUUUUAGGUUCAUACUGUGAUUGAGCUUAUAACACAAUAUUGACUGCUGUACCCAUAUUGUUGACAUUUUUGCCUAUUAUGUUUGUGUGUUUAGUGCACACAUUGUGUCAAUAUGAUAGCAUUUUAUACUACUGCCACACAAGUGACAGAUUUAGAUAGCUUUAAAACCAUAUUUAAUCUACCAUUUGCUAAAUAAAGAAUCUCUAAUGGUGACUGGGGAAUGAAAAUAUGGUCACCCUUGGUCUUCCUCCGUCCGGCGGUAAAUACCUCGCUAAAGUGGGCGUCCGGUCAGAAUGCGGAUGUUAAAUCCGAUGCCUCGUGUGAAGAGAGUGCCACGUUCUUUGCACGUUGAUAACCGUUGCAACAACACUUUGAGGGGUCUGUAGGUGGGUAGCUGCAAGGCUGUUUUUUUGUCCUUCUUCAAAAUACCCUCAUUUCCCCGUGGCAUUCCAAAUGUUCCCGACUUUCAUCCUGGACUGCCUCUAUUACAAGACAUACGUAUUGUAUAAGUUGUUAAUUUGUUGUCGUCCUGUGCAAUGUAUAAAACUUUUUCUACAAAGUACAGCCAUGUGUUUACCGUUUUUAAUGGCCUGAUUUCCUAGUAACUGGCAAGGAUUUCCAGCUUGCUUUCAGUAACCGUAAUCAGUCAUUGAACAAGUGGUAU
rnacentral:lncRNA from 1 species